UAAAGGGGGAUGUGCUUGUGUC
rnacentral:piRNA from 1 species